UUGUGGACUUUUUAGGUGGAGUUAUCGAUUCCUUUUAUUUUCUUAUUGAUCAAGCUGAUUAUCGAAUUGGUGCUGCACAAACGGGACAGCCAAAGCGUCACCCGCGGCAACUGUGUUCCCGUGGAAAUUGCCUCUCCGCAGGUUGACAACACAGACACGAUGCUGUGGCAUGCUGGCGAAUCAGAAGAACAGAAACGUUAAGGGCGCCGCCAUUGACUGUGCUGUAGUCUCCGUUCGUCUUAAUAGAGGGCGCUAUAUUGCCUAAGCUGAGUGACAAUUGGUUUCGUGCAAAGGUUAUCAGGUUCCAGGUUUCGUAAAAUGAAUUGAUUGCAUAAAACCAUAGAGAAAUGCAGUUUUUGUAUCUAAACUAUAAUGACAAAAAAUAUCUAUUUUAGGCCAAGUACCGUUUGCCCUUCCAGGAAUGCAGUGAUGUGUGUGAUAUCUUAUAUUUCAGUUAUUUUUGGAUGCAAAAAAUUAUUGUACAUAUUAUAAGAUGUUUGUAAGUAAUAAGCAGUCAUAUUUUUAGACUAUACAACAAUGAUGUAAAAGAACAAUGCCAGGUUUUAAGCAGUGUAUUUUGUCCUUUUUUUACACUGCAGAUAUAACUUAAAAAAUCGUUUCAUUUCAAAGUGAUGUUUAUUAGCUUCUUGCAUUUACAGAAAUCCAUCAACCACAAAUGUUAAGAAUAAACCUUUCGUAUAUUACAUGGAAGAUACUGUAAAAUGUACAGAAGGAAAUUUAGGCAAAAAAGGUGACUUUUUGUUGUUUCCAUUAUUGAACAUGGAGAACAAUCGAAGACUGAAGGGGUACGCAGUGAGCGGAAGUAAUCAUUCACAGGCUUUUUAUAAGAUUCCAUUGAAGUUUUGUAAUUAUUUUUUUUAUGAUUUCCAAGUUUAUCAUAAAAGAGCUGAUUCUUGUUUUGCGUACAAGAGGGAAUUUGAUCUGUUUGCCAUUCACCUUCAAACCCACCGCAACCUCCUCGGAGUAAAUUGAAGUUAAUCGGCGCCACAUUUUGGAAAGUUCAGUUAAUACUCCAAGAGUCAAAAUAAAAUCGGAUUAUUCAUGCAUGAUUUCCUCGUACCUUUGGUCCAACUUGUUUGUCACGAAAGUACCAAAUACUGACCCUUAAUGUCAUAGGCUUUGUACAGCGAGUGGUUUUACCCUUUUUGAACAAAAAAAUACAGUUGUAGUUAAAGCUAGCUUUCGGCAACUCACAAAGUUUAAUCGAAUCAAUUACGUUUUUAUGGGUGUGGAGUUUGAGGUUCUGACAUCAGUAGUUUAUGUUGGUGACCCGAAGGGUCGUUAUAAAAAGGACGAUUGUUAGACCA